CGACGUAUGUCAUGUGAUAAAUAAGCAAAUAUUUUUUAUUUUUCUGAAAUUGUAUGAAGCGCUCCAACACUCACCGUUUGCGUGCCGCACUUCUGCGGCCGAAGUUGAAAAUGGUCGGAUUAUGCGCUUUAAUUUCUGACAUAUCUCAUAUUUAAACAGGAAGUUUGGGCGCGAAAUAUCGAAGUUUCGUUCGGUCACAUGCUUCAUUAUUGUUGCCAGUCGGUUGCAAAGUACAAUAAUCUCUUUUUUAAAACUGUCUUUGUACAACAAGAGAUGCGUACAUAUUCCUCAGAAAUCCUCUUUUUGUGGACCCACGGAAGAAAGAUCGAGGUUUGAAGGACUUCAUCUGAAAGACCUACUACACCGUAGGCACAGACCUACAGCAUUUAGACAUUCAAGUCCUAUUAAGCAUCUGGUCACAAGGGAUAUGAAGCUGGUUAGCCGUGCUGUGGCUGUGGGUUGCGGAGGCUUUGGAAAACUGCCCCAGUGCUUGUAAAUGUAGUCAGAAAUCCAGUACGGAAAAGACUGAAGUCAAUUGUCAAAAGAAGGGACUUGACAGCAUCCCACCUAAACUCCCUCUGGACACAUAGAUCCUUAAAAU